rnacentral:rRNA from 1 species
GACGAACGCUGGCGGCGUGCCUAAUACAUGCAAGUCGAACGCUUUUUCUUUCACCGGAGCUUGCUCCACCGAAAGAAAAAGAGUGGCGAACGGGUGAGUAACACGUGGGUAACCUGCCCAUCAGAAGGGGAUAACACUUGGAAACAGGUGCUAAUACCGUAUAACACUAUUUUCCGCAUGGAAGAAAGUUGAAAGGCGCUUUUGCGUCACUGAUGGAUGGACCCGCGGUGAAUUAGUUAGUUGGUGAGGUAACGGCUCACCAAGGCAACGAUGCAUAGCCGACCUGAGAGGGUGAUCGGCCACACUGGGACUGAGACACGGCCCAGACUCCUACGGGAGGCAGCAGUAGGGAAUCUUCGGCAAUGGACGAAAGUCUGACCGAGCAACGCCGCGUGAGUGAAGAAGGUUUUCGGAUCGUAAAACUCUGUUGUUAGAGAAGAACAAGGAUGAGAGUAAAAUGUUCAUCCCUUGACGGUAUCUAACCAGAAAGCCACGGCUAACUACGUGCCAGCAGCCGCGGUAA